rnacentral:rRNA from 1 species
GACGAACCGUCCAAACGUUAUUCGGUAUCACUGGGCUUAAAGAGUUCGUAGGCGGCCUAGUAGGUGAGAUGUGAAAUCCCACGGCUCAACCGUGGAAUUGCGUUUCAAACCGCUAGGCUUGAGGGAGAUAGAGGUGAGCGGAACAGAUGGUGGAGCGGUGAAAUGCGUUGAUAUCAUCUGGAACACCGGUGGCGAAAGCGGCUCACUGGAUCUUUUCUGACGCUGAGGAACGAAAGCUAGGGUAGCGAAC